AAGUAUUUAAGAACAACACACUAAAGUAACUACUUAACUGCAAACGAAGCAUUAUGAAAGGUGUGAGCUAUAAGAUAUCUGCUAUUGGUAAUAAAGAUCAUGAAAUCGUACCAAGUUUUAACUUAAAAGAUGCCAUAUUCCAUUCACUUGGGCAUCCUCCUCCUAGUUGAGACACACCCCAACUGCCAUACUUCAAGCUUCUCAACAGUUUUCCAUUCUGCUUCAUAUUUAUACCCUGUUAGAAUGAUUAUACCACAGUGUGCAUAACUGCUGCAAGCACUAGCUUGUCAAAAGCAGCACCCUGCACAUUUAUAGUUCCAUAAAGACAGCUACUUUGGUAAGUAGCAUUCAUUAUAUAUAAACAACUUCUUUUCUCAGCAAUUCUUGUGGAUCCAUCUCUAUUGAUUGACUGCAAUCCAUGAGGUGGAUGAUUAGUAUUAAACUGGUAGAAAUCUCAAAGAAACAUAAUUAGUAUUAAACUGGUAGAAAUCUCAAAGAAACAUAAUUGCAGCAUCCUCAGCCAUGUACUCAGCCAUUCUACUCAUGACCAAGCCGCUAUAGCUUGAUAAAAACAUAACCAGUUAUUUACAAACUUUUCCACCCACAAGCAUAAUUGAGGCACACACAAAUCCCAUCAUUUAAGGGUCACCUAAAUUAUUACCUUCCUAAUUUGACUGAACUGAACAAAUUUACUAACAAUUGAAAGAAACUAUUAAUUUUCAUGAAAAUGAGCAUCUCAUGGAUGAAUGCUUCAGUACGACACCAUCCACCUAGACCAUAGAUUCUAACCACAAGCUAGACCCCAGUACACACUAUCCUGUAAUUUGUCGUUGACAAUUGAAAUAGUUUCAACCAUUGAUGACAACAUUAGCAGUGAAGUAAAAAUCUUGUCCUACACGAGAAUGCAAUUGAGCACAUCAAUAAGAUUCAACUCCUAAAGUAUAUAAAUCUAUUAAAUGAGCAUACUAAUUCUGUAAGAUAUGUGAUUAAAAUAACUCACUGCUGAUUUCACUAAUUAAAUAUGAGUCAAUCAAUUUCCUUGAUUCAUAAUUUAACUCAUGCAUCAAACA
rnacentral:lncRNA from 1 species